rnacentral:rRNA from 1 species
GGUUAAGCGACUAAGCGUACACGGUGGAUGCCCUGGCAGUCAGAGGCGAUGAAGGACGUGCUAAUCUGCGAUAAGCGUCGGUAAGGUGAUAUGAACCGUUAUAACCGGCGAUUUCCGAAUGGGGAAACCCAGUGUGUUUCGACACACUAUCAUUAACUGAAUCCAUAGGUUAAUGAGGCGAACCGGGGGAACUGAAACAUCUAAGUACCCCGAGGAAAAGAAAUCAACCGAGAUUCCCCCAGUAGCGGCGAGCGAACGGGGAGCAGCCCAGAGCCUGAAUCAGUGUGUGUGUUAGUGGAAGCGUCUGGAAAGGCGCGCGAUACAGGGUGACAGCCCCGUACACAAAAAUGCACAUGCUGUGAGCUCGAUGAGUAGGGCGGGACACGUGGUAUCCUGUCUGAAUAUGGGGGGACCAUCCUCCAAGGCUAAAUACUCCUGACUGACCGAUAGUGAACCAGUACCGUGAGGGAAAGGCGAAAAGAACCCCGGCGAGGGGAGUGAAAAAGAACCUGAAACCGUGUACGUACAAGCAGUGGGAGCACGCUUAGGCGUGUGACUGCGUACCUUUUGUAUAAUGGGUCAGCGACUUAUAUUCUGUAGCAAGGUUAACCGAAUAGGGGAGCCGAAGGGAAACCGAGUCUUAACUGGGCGUUAAGUUGCAGGGUAUAGACCCGAAACCCGGUGAUCUAGCCAUGGGCAGGUUGAAGGUUGGGUAACACUAACUGGAGGACCGAACCGACUAAUGUUGAAAAAUUAGCGGAUGACUUGUGGCUGGGGGUGAAAGGCCAAUCAAACCGGGAGAUAGCUGGUUCUCCCCGAAAGCUAUUUAGGUAGCGCCUCGUGAAUUCAUCUCCGGGGGUAGAGCACUGUUUCGGCAAGGGGGUCAUCCCGACUUACCAACCCGAUGCAAACUGCGAAUACCGGAGAAUGUUAUCACGGGAGACACACGGCGGGUGCUAACGUCCGUCGUGAAGAGGGAAACAACCCAGACCGCCAGCUAAGGUCCCAAAGUCAUGGUUAAGUGGGAAACGAUGUGGGAAGGCCCAGACAGCCAGGAUGUUGGCUUAGAAGCAGCCAUCAUUUAAAGAAAGCGUAAUAGCUCACUGGUCGAGUCGGCCUGCGCGGAAGAUGUAACGGGGCUAAACCAUGCACCGAAGCUGCGGCAGCGACGCUGAUGCGUUGUUGGGUAGGGGAGCGUUCUGUAAGCCUGCGAAGGUGUGCUGUGAGGCAUGCUGGAGGUAUCAGAAGUGCGAAUGCUGACAUAAGUAACGAUAAAGCGGGUGAAAAGCCCGCUCGCCGGAAGACCAAGGGUUCCUGUCCAACGUUAAUCGGGGCAGGGUGAGUCGACCCCUAAGGCGAGGCCGAAAGGCGUAGUCGAUGGGAAACAGGUUAAUAUUCCUGUACUUGGUGUUACUGCGAAGGGGGGACGGAGAAGGCUAUGUUGGCCGGGCGACGGUUGUCCCGGUUUAAGCGUGUAGGCUGGUUUUCCAGGCAAAUCCGGAAAAUCAAGGCUGAGGCGUGAUGACGAGGCACUACGGUGCUGAAGCAACAAAUGCCCUGCUUCCAGGAAAAGCCUCUAAGCAUCAGGUAACAUCAAAUCGUACCCCAAACCGACACAGGUGGUCAGGUAGAGAAUACCAAGGCGCUUGAGAGAACUCGGGUGAAGGAACUAGGCAAAAUGGUGCCGUAACUUCGGGAGAAGGCACGCUGAUAUGUAGGUGAAGUCCCUCGCGGAUGGAGCUGAAAUCAGUCGAAGAUACCAGCUGGCUGCAACUGUUUAUUAAAAACACAGCACUGUGCAAACACGAAAGUGGACGUAUACGGUGUGACGCCUGCCCGGUGCCGGAAGGUUAAUUGAUGGGGUCAGCGCAAGCGAAGCUCUUGAUCGAAGCCCCGGUAAACGGCGGCCGUAACUAUAACGGUCCUAAGGUAGCGAAAUUCCUUGUCGGGUAAGUUCCGACCUGCACGAAUGGCGUAAUGAUGGCCAGGCUGUCUCCACCCGAGACUCAGUGAAAUUGAACUCGCUGUGAAGAUGCAGUGUACCCGCGGCAAGACGGAAAGACCCCGUGAACCUUUACUAUAGCUUGACACUGAACAUUGAGCCUUGAUGUGUAGGAUAGGUGGGAGGCUUGGAAGUGUGGACGCCAGUCUGCAUGGAGCCGACCUUGAAAUACCACCCUUUAAUGUUUGAUGUUCUAACGUGGACCCGUAAUCCGGGUUGCGGACAGUGUCUGGUGGAUAGUUUGACUGGGGCGGUCUCCUCCUAAAGAGUAACGGAGGAGCACGAAGGUUGGCUAAUCCUGGUCGGACAUCAGGAGGUUAGUGCAAUGGCAUAAGCCAGCUUGACUGCGAGCGUGACGGCGCGAGCAGGUGCGAAAGCAGGUCAUAGUGAUCCGGUGGUUCUGAAUGGAAGGGCCAUCGCUCAACGGAUAAAAGGUACUCCGGGGAUAACAGGCUGAUACCGCCCAAGAGUUCAUAUCGACGGCGGUGUUUGGCACCUCGAUGUCGGCUCAUCACAUCCUGGGGCUGAAGUAGGUCCCAAGGGUAUGGCUGUUCGCCAUUUAAAGUGGUACGCGAGCUGGGUUUAGAACGUCGUGAGACAGUUCGGUCCCUAUCUGCCGUGGGCGCUGGAGAACUGAGGGGGGCUGCUCCUAGUACGAGAGGACCGGAGUGGACGCAUCACUGGUGUUCGGGUUGUCAUGCCAAUGGCACUGCCCGGUAGCUAAAUGCGGAAGAGAUAAGUGCUGAAAGCAUCUAAGCACGAAACUUGCCCCGAGAUGAGUUCUCCCUGACCCUUUAAGGGUCCUGAAGGAACGUUGAAGACGACGACGUUGAUAGGCCGGGUGUGUAAGCGCAGCGAUGCGUUGAGCUAACCGGUACUAAUGAACCGUGAGGCUUAACCUU